rnacentral:rRNA from 1 species
AUUGAACGCUGGCGACAGGCUUAACACAUGCAAGUCGAGCGGAGAUGAGGUGCUUGCACCUUAUCUUAGCGGCGGACGGGUGAGUAAUGCUUAGGAAUCUGCCUAUUAGUGGGGGACAACAUCCCGAAAGGAAUGCUAAUACCGCAUACGUCCUACGGGAGAAAGCAGGGGAUCUUCGGACCUUGCGCUAAUAGAUGAGCCUAAGUCGGAUUAGCUAGUUGGUGGGGUAAAGGCCUACCAAGGCGACGAUCUGUAGCGGGUCUGAGAGGACGAUCAGCCACACUGGGACUGAGACACGGCCCAGACUCCUACGGGAGGCAGCAGUGGGGAAUUUUGGACAAUGGGCGGAAGCCUGGUCCAGCCAUGCCGCGUGUGUGAAGAAGGCCUUUUGGUUGUAAAGCACUUUAAGCGAGGAGGAGGCUACUAGUACUAAUACUACUGGAUAGUGGACGUUACUCGCAGGAUAAGCACCGGCUAACUCUGUGCCAGCCGCCGCAGUAACAC